rnacentral:rRNA from 1 species
GAUGAACGCUGGCGGCGUGCCUAAUACAUGCAAGUCGAGCGAAUGGAUUAAGAGCUUGCUCUUAUGAAGUUAGCGGCGGACGGGUGAGUAACACGUGGGUAACCUGCCCAUAAGACUGGGAUAACUCCGGGAAACCGGGGCUAAUACCGGAUAACAUUUUUAACCGCAUGGUUCGAAAUUGAAAGGCGGCUUCGGCUGUCACUUAUGGAUGGACCCGCGUCGCAUUAGCUGGUUGGUGAGGUAACGGCUCACCAAGGCAACGAUGCGUAGCCGACCUGAGAGGUGGAUGGGCCACACUGGGACUGAGAAACGGCCCAGACUCCUACGGGAGGCAGCAGUAGGGAAUCUUCCGCAAUGGACGAAAGUCUGACGGAGCAACGCCGCGUGAGUGAUGAAGGCUUUCGGGUCGUAAAACUCUGUUGUUAGGGAAGAACAAGUGCUAGUUGAAUAAGCUGGCACCUUGACGGUACCUAACCAGAAAGCCACGGCUAACUACGUGCCAGCCGCCGCCGUAA